rnacentral:rRNA from 1 species
AUUGAACGCUGGCGGCAGGCCUAACACAUGCAAGUCGAGCGGAUGACGGGAGCUUGCUCCUUGAUUCAGCGGCGGACGGGUGAGUAAUGCCUAGGAAUCUGCCUGGUAGUGGGGGACAACGUUUCGAAAGGAACGCUAAUACAGCAUACGUCCUACGGGAGAAAGCAGGGGACCUUCGGGCCUUGCGCUAUCAGAUGAGCCUAGGUAGGAUUAGCUAGUUGGUGAGGUAAUGGCUCACCAAGGCGACGAUCCGUAACUGGUCUGAGAGGAUGAUCAGUCACACUGGAACUGAGACACGGUCCAGACUCCUACGGGAGGCAGCAGUGGGGAAUAUUGGACAAUGGGCGAAAGCCUGAUCCAGCCAUGCCGCGUGUGUGAAGAAGGUCUUCGGAUUGUAAAGCACUUUAAGUUGGGAGGAAGGGCAGUAAGCUAAUACCUUGCUGUUUUGACGUUACCGACAGAAUAAGCACCGGCUAACUCUGUGCCAGCCGCCGCAGUAA